rfam:Medicago truncatula strain A17 chromosome 7, whole genome shotgun sequence.
UUAUGUGACGAUGAUGAUAAAUGUGAUCCCAGCUCUAUGAGACUGUAAGGUCUAGGAAUAUAAUUAGUUCCAACACACAUUUGUCUGAGCCUCUAA